AUGUUCCUGCCGUUGAUGGCCAUGUUGUGUGGGUCCACUGUAUUGGCCAAACCGGCCAUGAUGCAUCGUCAGGGCUACUGAGCGUGAGACCUUCCGGAGGAUGCAUAUCUGUUCAUUACUCCAGAUGUAGCUGAAGACAGACUUGUCAUGUCAUCCCUGUGGCCAUGCACCACUCCUGAGGACUUCACGAUCCACAGGUUGGCAUCAAGCAUGUUGAAAGUGAUCUUCGUGCUCUGUAUAGUACCCUUCUUCCAUGGUCUACUCUGCGUCGUGCGUGCGGGUGUUUUCUUCGAAUAAAGUUGUUAGUUGCA